rfam:Schistosoma mansoni strain Puerto Rico chromosome 5, complete genome
GUACUGCUGAAGGGUUCCACAAUAGGACGAAACGGACGUCCUGUAC